CUACAAUGUAUUCCUCAAAAAUACAGAAAACUAUUAAACACAGAUAUAUUAAUAUUGCAGUGUUUACAGGCUUUAUAAUAAUAAUUUCUAUCAACAAAUAUUCUGAAUUAGCAUCAAAUCAUUUUAGGUACCACAUUCACGCAAACCAAUCAAAUUCAUCAUGUAUAAAGCUCUUGAUAUUUGAAUGUCAUUUAUUUCAUACACAAACACAAACAUGCACCCUAAAUGGUGUUUUCUUGAUGGCUGCAAAGUUUCUCUCAAGCAAUCUGAUGACGUUAUUUACAAUGGUAUCAGAGAACAAAGUGUGUUUCAUUCCUAAAAUAAAUCCUUCAUUUUAUUA
rnacentral:lncRNA from 1 species